GCGCGGUGAGCACAAAGCGAACUAUUCUUUCGCCUUUUACUAAAGAAUACCGUGUGCUCGUCGCAAAUAGCGGCAUACGCCCAUUUUUGGAGGGUUCCUUCCCUAUGAAGGGUUGGUCCCCUAAAAUUCCAAGUUAAAAGUUUUUGAUCUUUAAUUUUUACCUGAAUGGGUUGAUGAUGUCCUGCAAUUGCUAUUUAAUAUGAGGAAUUUACACACGAAAUGUUUGGGAGGGGGAUUGCAACUUAGAUGCUGUUAAUGCCCAAGCUAUGAGAAAUUUCAUGGGAACUACAGACAAUUUCUUUCAAAAUAGAAAACUACUGAACUGGAUGGAGAUUUUUUCAGUUUUAAUUCUCGAUGGGAGCGUGUCGGAAAAAAAAGAAAAAGAAAAAAAAGCAUAAGCAUGCCAAUGGCUGAAAUCAAUUCACAGAGUGAAGUCCAAAGGUUUAUAUGAUUUAGUAAGCACUUAUAUUUUGUAUUUGCUCAAUAAUAAUGCAAAUAAAUAUGUAAUCCUAGUAAGAUGUGAAUGAAUUCAAGUCAAGUUUGUACCAAAGGAGAUUAUUAUUAUAUUAAAGAAUAAUGCUAUAUGUACUAAUUAAUGUACACAUUAUGUGAUAUCAUUUGUAGGUUUUGGGUAUUUAUAACUCGUAUAAUAAAUGUGAUCAAUAAUAAUAUUAUAACACUAAUUGGUAUACUAGUGUGUAUAUUAAUUGAUACAUGUAAUACUACUGUAUAUUAAUCCACGAGUUUAAUGGAUGGGUAUUAUUUGGUGACCAAACGAAGUGAGUCCCGCAUCAGUUUGUCAUAUGGAGGACUGAGUUAGGAAUGUUUGUAUAAAAACAGCAAGAAGAGAGUAGAGGAAGGCAUCUUUGCGCUUGGGGCAAUGACGCAGCUAGUGAGGUAAUAACCGAGGCGCGUCAAUUGCUGGUUGAAAACUAUUUCCAAACCCCCUCAUAGGCCUGGGUUCAGCCCGGGCCCUUGAGAAUUUCUGGAAGGGCCUCCCUCUAACCAAGGGUUAAAGCUCUACAA